rnacentral:rRNA from 1 species
CAGUAGUCACGAGUUUGAUCCUGGCUACAGAACGAACGCUGGCGGCAUGCCUAACACAUGCAAGUCGAACGAGACCUUCGGGUCUAGUGGCGCACGGGUGCGUAACGCGUGGGAACCUGCCUUAGGUUCGGAAUAACUCAGAGAAAUUUGAGCUAAUACCAUAUAAUGUCUUCGGACCAAAGAUUUAUCGCCCUGAGAUAAGCCCGCGUAGGAUUAGCUAGUUGGUGAGGUAAAGGCUCACCAAGGCGACGAUCCUUAGCUGGUCUGAGAGGAUGAUCAGCCACACUGGGACUGAGACACGGCCCAGACUCCUACGGGAGGCAGCAGUGGGGAAUAUUGGACAAUGGGCGAAAGCCUGAUCCAGCAAUGCCGCGUGAGUGAUGAAGGCCUUCGGGUUGUAAAGCUCUUUUACUCGGGACGAUAAUGACGGUACCGAGAGAAUAAGCCCCGGCUAACUCCGUG